rnacentral:other from 1 species
CCUGUGCGGCAACGUUCGUGUGAGUUUAAUCCCUUGGCUCAGUUUACAUCCUUGGGAGCUGUCCCUAGCAAAGUCGUGGCUUUGUUAUAUGGCACCCACUUGGCAUUUUAGCCACGAGAGGAUCAUUCGCUCCACGGCGUUUGCGGCACCUUU